GACGAGCGCUGGCGGCGUGCUUAACACAUGCAAGUCGAGCGGAAAGGCCCGUCGCGUUCCUCGAGCGGCGAACGGGUGGGUAACACGUGAGUAACCUGCCCUAGACUCUGGGAUAACCCGCGGAAACGGGGGCUAAUACCGGAUACUCCUUCUAUAUCGCAAGAUGUGGUUGGCAAAGUUGUUCGGUCUGUGAUGGACUCGCGGCCGAUCAGCUUGCUGGUGGGGUAAUAGUUUACCAAGGAGAGGACGGGUAGCCGACCCGAGAGGAGGAACGGCCACAAGGCUCCUGCGAGAGGGAGCAGAAGGCUACCGGCGGCAGUAGUGGGGAAUAUUGCACAGCGGGCGGACGCCUGAUGCAGAGAUGUCCCGUGAGGAAUGCCGUCCUUCGGGUUGUAAACAUCUGUCAGCAGGGACGAAGCGUAAGUGACGGUACCUGCAGAAGAAGCGACGGCCAACUACGUG
rnacentral:rRNA from 1 species